CCUACGGGUGGCAGCAGUGAGGAAUAUUGGUCAAUGGCCGGGAGGCUGAACCAGCCAAGUCGCGUGAGGGAAGACGGCCCUACGGGUUGUAAACCUCUUUUGUCAGGGAGCAAGAAGCAGGUCGGGUCCUGCUGCGAGAGUACCUGAAGAAAAAGCAUCGGCUAACUCCGUGCCAGCAGCCGCGGUAAUACGGAGGAUCCGAGCGUUAUCCGGAUUUAUUGGGUUUAAAGGGAGCGUAGUGGGGUGGUUAAGUCAGUGGUGAAAGUUUGCGGCUAAAACGUAAAAAUGCAAUUGAUACUGGCAGGCGUGAGUACGGGUGAGGUAGGCGGAAUUCGUGGUGUAGCGGUGAAAUGCAUAGAUAUCACGAAGAACUCCGAUUGCGAAGGCAGCUUACGAACCUGCCACUGACAUUGAUGCACGAAAGUGUGGGUAUCAAACAGGAUUAGAUACCCGAGUAGUC
rnacentral:rRNA from 1 species